rnacentral:tRNA from 2 species
GGCUGCGUGGCCCAGUGGUUAAGGCAUCUGCUUUACAGGCAUUCCCUCCCGUGUCGCAGAGGAUCGCAGGUUCGAGCCCUGCCGCGGUCA